GGAGUCCCUGGCUGAGUGGUAGAGCGUCUGCCUUGCACGCAGACAAUCCCUGCUUCAAUCCCUGGCGUCUCCA